rnacentral:rRNA from 1 species
AUACGUAUGGUGCAAGCGUUAUCCGGAUUUACUGGGUGUAAAGGGUGCGUAGGUGGUUGCGCAAGUCAGAAGUGAAAACUAUGGGCUCAACCCAUAGACUGCUUUUGAAACUGCGUAACUAGAGUGCAGGAGAGGAAAGUGGAAUUCCUAGUGUAGCGGUGAAAUGCGUAGAUAUUAGGAGGAACACCAGUGGCGAAGGCGGCUUUCUGGACUGCAACUGACACUGAGGCACGAAAGCGUGGGGAGCAAACAGGAUUAGAUACCCUGGUAGUCCACGCUGUAAACGAUGAUUACUAGGUGUUGGGGACCAAAGGUCCUCGGUGCCGCCGCAAACGCAUUAAGUAAUCCACCUGGGGAGUACGUUCGCAAGAAUGAAACUCAAAUGAAUUGACGGGG